UACGGAGGGUGCAAGCGUUAUCCGGAUUUACUGGGCGUAAAGCGUGCGCAGGCGGUUUGCUAAGACAGGUGUGAAAUCCCCGGGCUUAACCUGGGAACUGCGCUUGUAACUGGCAAGCUUGAGUGUGGCAGAGGGGGGUGGAAUUCCACGUGUAGCAGUGAAAUGCGUAGAGAUGUGGAGGAACACCGAUGGCGAAGGCAGCCCCCUGGGCUAACACUGACGCUCAUGCACGAAAGCGUGGGGAGCAAACAGG
rnacentral:rRNA from 1 species